GGUAAGAGGGCUUAAUUCCAUCGAACUUUGAGGAGGAGAGUUAGGUGCCUAAUGAGAGAAAAUUAAAAAAAUAAAAACUUGUUUUUUUUUCCCUUUAUACUACUGCUGUAUGAUUCAAGUAAUACGAUAAUGAUAGUCUUUAUCUAUUAAGCCAGUAAUCUGUGCCUGGUAGAGUAUUCAGCAAUUUAUCUUGAAUCCUUAGAGCCUGGGGGAGUUGUUGCUACCAUCAUUUUACCUUUGAACAAAAUGAGGUCAGGAAGAUUCAAUGGCUUUUUCUGGUUUCCCUGGUGGGAUUCAAAUCCAGGGUCACUUGGGUGAUUCAGAAGUUGACGUUCUUUUCACAGAUUUGCAGCUUGUUUUGAGGAAGAAAGAGAGAGAAAUAGAAAACUCUGCAGUGUGUGUUGCUUUCCAAUUUGAGGUAGCACAGUUAGGUCGGGUAUGAGGUAUAGAGAUUAAAGACCAUGCUGGAAGAAUAGGUCCAGAUGUCCUAAGAAAACGAGUGCAACUGACAUUUUGAUGAAAAUGAGAUGAUUUUGGAAACCUACAUCUCUAUCCAGUAAGGAUGGCCAGAAGAGAAUAAAACAUUAACCUCUUAACUGUAGUCUGGGACACACUUACUUGAUCAUUCUUAAUCUAGAUGAGCAGAUCAGAGUUGGUGUGUGAUCAUUCAAAACUAGAACCUGGAAAGAAACAGAGAGUACAUUGUGCUAAAGUGGAGAUUAGUAGAAAAAUCCAAGAUUGAUCAAACUCAGUCUUUCCACAUGCCUGGUUAUCUUAUUAAAUUGUCAGUUUCAUUUGGAUAAAAGAUCUAAACUUUCCAAACAGAGAGCUGCAAAGAGGAGAGAGACCCUCUCUUCUGCUUACUUGGUGGGCAUAUAUUUAGAGACAUUUCCUAGGUAUGGAAUAUUUCAGUUAUCAGCACAGAAUUUAGGGAAAGGUUGGGACUGAAAGACAACAUUUGACAGCUAUGAAUCACAAAAGUUACAAGGAUCUCAGAUUUGUUUUAACAGCAUACAAAUUCAUUUUUACUGCAGAUAAGAUUAUCUUACUUCAUUAGAAGUUGGUAUUAGCUUCAAGUAUGUAUAAAUUUUGUUGUUUUUCUUGACUGCAAAAGCUCUGCACCUGUGCUUUCUUAAAGCACAUUGAAAAAAUAAAAACUCCUAAGAGAAUUAUUUUCUCUUUUGCCAAUACUAGUCAAUCUCGCUUUACUAACCAGGGAAACUACAAAUUACUAUGGUUCUGAGGUUGGCAGACUGAUACAAUUAGUUCCCCUACAUGCUUGACAUUCCACGUUAGUAAGUAGAAAGAACGACAAAAAAAGUCUUUCCUGCUGGGAACAUGGUAGAAAUGUUAGGAUUCUUUCCAGAAGAAGAAGGAAUCCAAAUCCACAACAGCACAUUGUUUGCAUGUUUUUCUAGGCUUUAUUUUCAGCCUUGAAAAUUUUCACGCAGCGCCUCCUGCCAGAAUAUGACACACACCACUGGGCCUGAAACUAGCACCUGUGAGAAGCAAAUCCAUGACCAUGAAAAUCUUCAGUUCCUGAGUGGGACAGAAUAAACCCUGUUUCAUGGAGUUUGUGCCAGGGAAGGGCCACAGUUUAGCUGGCACUGUAGCCAUGACCAAGAAACAGUUUACCAGGACUUUACAAUUCACAGCAUUGUUUGAACUCUGCACUGUAGCUACACUAACUAGAUUAUAAGAUGUGGUUGCUUUUGUUUGGUGCCUAUCAUAUAUAUGGUGUGAUGCUUACUUUGAUUACUGCACAUAUUGUCCUAAUACUGUAAUCUCCUUUUGGUUUGUCUGUUUACCCUCUAGACUAAUAAUAUAAGUGAGUGAAGUGAGGCCACUUCACUUUAACAACAGUCAGUAUUUUUUUCCCCAACUUCUGUUAAAGACAUGGGUGCACUGCAUGAGUGAUGCAACAAGCACUUAACCUCAUUGUACAGUUAACCAUCAGGAAUGGCAGGGACUGGAACAAAAUGAAGAAAGUUUGCCCCAUCUGAGGGUGUGGCAGUCACUUAGCUCUACUUAAUUGUUGUUGACUGAGUCCUAGGUGAUAAUAGAUCUUCCACAUUCUAAAAAGGAGCUGUAUAAUGUGAAAUUACUUAAAUUUUAAGUGUUUUUAUGGGCACAAUCUGUAAGACAUUCAGGGGCAAAAGCCGAAUGCUUUAUUUUUCAAUUUCAAGUAGUGCUCUUAUAUAGUAGAUCAAUAUGUUCUUCCUCUCUUGUAUAUUAUUUUACUGAAUUAAAGGCCUGUAUACUUUAUAGACAUGCAGGUGAUAUAUAAGAGAGGUGUCCACUUGGUAGUAUUUUGCCUACACUUUCUCAAUCAAUUAAAAAACUUUUGCAUUAAAUAGGAUACAAUAGAUAUUAGAAAGAGAAAAUUGAAGUGCAAUAUAGAUGAAAACUAUACAGAAAUAUUGGCCCUACAAAAUUUCCAGUUCUCCUACUUGUCCAUAUCACAUCCCAGAAUAUGGAGAAAACAUUAAAAACCUAUCACAUUACUUAAUAAAUAUUUGAAUAGGUGAAUGAAUGAAAUAAGUAUGUUUGGAAUCCUAGAUAUAAUUAGACAAAUUAGAGAGUGAUUACUAGGUAGUUCCAAGGACAUGUGCCAGCCUUGAAGACCACUGAUCUAUGGGUAAAUGAAAUACAAUUAUAGUGUAAGGAGUAUAUAUAUUUAUUUGUGUAUGUGUGUGUGUGUGCACAUAGAUGUCUUUUGUCCUUUUUAAUUUUUUCUCUUUUGUCCUUUUUUAAAAAAAAGAUACUAAUUUUCAUUUUGAGAUUUCUGUUUUUCUACUUUUUGAAUAUUAAAAUUAUGAUAUAGUAAUAGCAUAUGUUAAUGUUUUUCUAUUUUCUUGAAGAUCUCUUUUGUUAAGAUAAAAGACCAUUACUUCUAGUCAGUCCCCCAAAUUUUAUUUUAAAUUUUGCUUGAUCCAAGAAAUAUAAAAUUCUGGGAGCCACUGAUUUGGGGCUCUUUAAAAUUCCUAAUGCUCAUUUUUCUCUCAUUU
rnacentral:lncRNA from 1 species